UUUUUUUGGGGGGGGUUUGGGGGAAAAAUUGGGAUUUAUAGGGAAAAAAAUGGGAUUUUUUGGGGAAAAAAUGGGAUUUUUUGGGCAGAAAUUGGGAUUUUUUGGGGAGAAAUUGGGAUUUAUAGGGAAAAAAAUGGGAUUUUUUGGGGAAAAAAUGGGAUUUUUUGGGCAGAAAUUGGAUUUUUUUGGGGAGAAAUUGGGAUUUUUUUGGGAAGAAUUGAGAAUUUUGGGGAGAUUUUGGGGAAAAAAUGGGAUUUUUUGGGAAAAAUGGGAUUUUUUUGGGGAAAAAAUGGGAUUUUUUGGGGAGAAAUUGGGAUUUUUUGGGAAAAAAUGGGAUUUUUUUAGCAGAAAUUGGGAUUUAUAGGGAAAAAAAUGGGAUUUUUUGGGGAAAAAUGGGAUUUUUUGGAGGGAAAUUGGGAUUUUUUGGGGAAGAAUUGAGAAUUUUGGGGGGAUUUUGGGGAAAAAAUGGGUUUUUUUGGGCAGAAAUUGGAUUUUUUUGGGCAGAAAUUGGGAUUUUUUUGGGGAAGAAUUGAGAAUUUUGGGGGGAUCUUGGGGAAAAAUUGGGAUUUUGGGGAAAAAAUUGGGAUUUUGGGGAAAAAAUGGGAUUUUGAGGAAAAAAUGGGAAUUUUUGGAAAAAAAAUGGGAUUUUUUGGGCAGAAAUUGGGAUUUUUGGGGAGAUUUUGGGCAGAAAUUGGGAAUUUGGGGGAGAUUUUGGGGGAAAUUGGGAUUUUUGGGGAGAUUUUGGGGGAAAUUGGGAUUUCUGGGGAGAUUUUUGGGUUUUUUGGAGGGAAAUGGGCAGAAGCGAUUCCUGCUGCGGCGCCUCUGCGAGAUGCUUUUCUUCACGCAGCUGCUGGUGGGGCUGAUCCAGCAGGUAAAAAAUGGGGGGAGGGGGCGUUGGGACCCCCCAAAUUCAUCCUCCCCAACCUGGGGGGGUUGGGGGAUUUUGGGGGGAUUUGGGGAUUUUUGGGGAUUUUUUGGGGAUUUUUUGUGGUUUUUUUUUUUAAUUUUUUGGGGGGAAUUUUUUUGGGAUUUUGGGGUUUUUGGGGGCGAUUUUUGGGGAUUUUUUGGGGAUUUUUUUGGGGGGUUUUUGGUUUUUUGGGGGAUGUUUUUGGG
rnacentral:lncRNA from 1 species